rnacentral:rRNA from 1 species
ACCUGCCCCUCACUUCGGGAUAACCAUUGGAAACGGUGGCUAAUACUGGAUAUGACACAUGGCCGCAUGGUCUGUGUGUGGAAAGAAUUUUGGUGGGGGAUGGGCUCGCGGCCUAUCAGCUUGUUGGUGGGGUGAUGGCCUACCAAGGCUUUGACGGGUAGCCGGCCUGAGAGGGCGACCGGCCACACUGGGACUGAGACACGGCCCAGACUCCUACGGGAGGCAGCAGUGGGGAAUAUUGCACAAUGGGGGAAACCCUGAUGCAGCGACGCCGCGUGGGGGAUGAAGGCCUUCGGGUUGUAAACCCCUUUCAGUAGGGAACAAGGCCAUGAUUAUUGUUGUGGUUGAGGGUACUUGCAGAAGAAGCGCCGGCUAACUACGUGCCAGCAGCCGCGGUAAUACGUAGGGCGCAAGCGUUGUCCGGAAUUAUUGGGCGUAAAGAGCUCGUAGGCGGUUUGUCGCGUCUGCCGUGAAAACCCGAUGCUUAACAUCGGGCUUGCGGUGGGUACGGGCAGGCUAGAGUGCGGUAGGGGUGACUGGAAUUCCUGGUGUAGCGGUGGAAUGCGCAGAUAUCAGGAGGAACACCGAUGGCGAAGGCAGGUCACUGGGCCGUUACUGACGCUGAGGAGCGAAAGCAUGGGGAGCGAACAGGAUUAGAUACCCUGGUAGUCCAUGCCGUAAACGUUGGGCACUAGGUGUUGGGGAUUGUUCCACGAUUCCUGUACCGUAGCUAACGCAUUAAGUGCCCCG